GCACCAUAUGAAACAUGUGGUUGUCUGAGGGGUAAAUAUUGUAUAUAUGUAUAUAGUUUGUUCAUCAUGGAUGUAGCACACAGGCUCAGUGUUUUCAGUGCGUCUUGCACUGGUGCGUCUUGCACCUUUCUUUAUUUCUUAGAGCUGGCCUGUGUGUCUGACGUGGUGAAACUACGGGGAACUCGGGGAGUUCACAGGUUGCCACUUGCCACGCUUGCAAGACACAAGUCUGCCCUGCAGCCGGGGACAGCAAAAGGACUUUAGAUGAAUUUCUUCCGAGUCUUCCGUUAUGGAUGAAUGUGUUUUCUUGAGCGAGAAACACGUCCAGCUUUAUUGUUGCCGACUCAUCAACAGUUCAGAUCAAGCUGCAGAUUGCAGUGAGUGAGGAAAGAGACAUUACAGCUGCAGGGACAGAGUCAAACCUACAACACUACUGACCCACCAAUGACAGGCAGGACGAGCAGCAAGAACAGACUGACAGAAGAGGGAGAGGACAGAAACAGCUUGAUCGAAAGAAGGAAGAUAUUAAUUCCACCUGCACUUCUCUCCAAACCAACUGCAGCAACCAGCUGUGGACAAAGUAAUAAACACAGAGCUGUUUGUGAAGGAUGGAAACAAAAGAAGAAGACGAAAGGAGUGGAGACUCGCUGUGAACUCGCUCAUUUAAAAAGAGAGGAGAGGAAACAAGGACGACACUAGUCCAGACCAAGAUCCGACAAGAGAAGAGAGGAGACAGCAUGAACUGUGAACUCGCUCAUUUUAAAAGAGAGAGGAGAGGAAACGAGGACGAAGUCCAGACCAAGUCUAGACCAAGAGCCGACAAGAGAAGAGAGGAGACAGCCUGAACUGUGAACUCCAUCCAUCCAUCGUCAACCGCUUAUCCUGUGUACAGGGUCGUGGGGGCUGGAGCCAAUCCCAGCUGACAUCGGUGGCCAGUCCAUCGCAGGAACUCGCUCAUUUAAAAAGAGAGAGGAGAGGAAACGAGGACGAAGCAAGUCCAGACUGAGUCCAGACCAAGUCUAGACCAAGAUCAGACAAUGAGAAGAAAGGAGACAGCCUGAACUGUGAACUCGCUCACUGAAAAGAGAGGAGAGGAGACGAGGACAACACUAGUCCAGACUGAGUCCAGACCAAGAUC